rnacentral:rRNA from 1 species
UACAGAGGGUGCAAGCGUUGUCCGGAAUCACUGGGCGUAAAGGGCGCGUAGGCGGCCCGAUAAGUAGGGGGUGAAAUCUUGCGGCUCAACCGCAAGGCUGCCUUCUAGACUGUCGGGCUUGAGCACAGUAGAGGCAGGUGGAAAUUCCCGGUGUAGCGGUGGAAUGCGUAGAGAUCGGGAAGAACACCGGUGGCGCAAGCGACUCGCUGGGCCAUUACUGACGCUGAGGAACGAAAGCUAGGGGAGCGAAUGGG